UAAACGCUGGCGGCGUGCUUAACACAUGCAAGUCGAACGAAGUUUUUCCUUCGGGAGAAACUUAGUGGCGGACGGGUGAGUAACGCGUGGGUAACCUGCCCUGUACAGGGGGACAACAGCUGUAAACGGCUGCUAAUACCGCAUAAGCCCUUAGCACUGCAUGGUGCAUAGGGAAAAGGAGCAAUCCGGUACAGGAUGGACCCGCGUCUGAUUAGCCAGUUGGCAGGGUAACGGCCUACCAAAGCGACGAUCAGUAGCCGAUCUGAGAGGAUGUACGGCCACAUUGGGACUGAGACACGGCCCAGACUCCUACGGGAGGCAGCAGUGGGGAAUAUUGCACAAUGGAGGAAACUCUGAUGCAGCGACGCCGCGUGAGUGAAGAAGUAUUUCGGUAUGUAAAGCUCUAUCAGCAGGGAAGAAAAUGACGGUACCUGACGAAGAAGCACCGGCUAAAUACGUG
rnacentral:rRNA from 1 species